UUAUAAACAAGAGUUCCUUCAACCAACAUACAUAGCUAAACUCAAGACUUUACACCGUUUUUCUUUAUUUCUGAUUGCCUAAGGUAUUAAUUUUUAAAAUAACGGUGUUUCGGAUUUUUUAGAUUGCUACUCUAUAAGUGGCCUACCUUGGGUCCCUUUUCAAAAGUCUCCCAACUAAAUUCUUGAGUUUAGCUAUGUAUGUUGGUUGAGGGAACUCUUGUUUAUAA
rnacentral:sRNA from 1 species